ACCAUUUCGGGUUCCUCGUCUUGCCCGAUCUCUCCAUUAUUUAUCUCGCUACGUGCGCAUUCCUUCUACAUUGUUUCGAAGCAGAGUUUGGGAGCUUGUUGCGCGUCGUCUUUCCCAGAUUGCUCUGUUGUUUCCUCGGACGGGCUCGGGAUCGAAUUUCGCAAUUCGUUGGCCUUGCGCGUUGUUUCGUUUUGGGUUUUCUGGAUUUGUGGUUUUGUUUCUUUUUGGGAUUGCGUUUUUGGGUGGAGUGGACGAGUUUUGAAGUCGCAGCGGUUUUGUUGGUGGUGAGAGGAUCCUUCUCGAGUCGUAGGUGCUGGUUUUUUUGUGGGCGAGUGCUGUGGGUUUGAAUUGGAAAUUUUAGGUGGGGCCGUUGUAGUGUGGGUUCUGUAGUUUCAGUCUCUGGAGAUCCGGGUCGAGCUGUUUUGAUUGCGGGAGGCUAAUUACCCAAGGUCGACAAGAUGGGUUUGGAUGAGGUAAAUCAUACUUAGUGGUGUGUUUAGGCUAAUCCUCCGACUGAGUCGUGUUUCACAAGUCUGUGAAUGACUACAGAGGAUCUGGCCCAGACAUGCCGUCUGCUUGGGAAGCAGCUUCAAGGAUAUAUAAUUUUGGGAGUAGAUUUUUCUUAUGAGUUGAAAUCAUUGUUACAACUAUUUAUGUUAUUUUUAUGGUUAUGGAAGUUUCUUUCUCCAUCCAUCCUUACCAAGCUUGGAAUUGGUUCAUAUUACAGACGUUUAAUUAUAGGAAAUCGUCACAAGUAGUAUCAACUCACGACAUGGCGGUGCCAUCAUAUCAGGUAAUCCAGGUUUUCAUGUGCGUUCCUUGCAAUGUAAUGGUUAGUAGUCACAUGCCGUAAAGGUGGUUUAGUCUCCAAAGCGUGUUUCGUGAAGUCCUUGUUGCAGCGGUUGAUCGCAUCACCUUAUUAGCGACAGUACUACCUGCACGUGCUUUGAAUGAAGCGGUUUCGUUUUCUCAUUCCGCGUUUGGCCAUCGCAGCUCGACAUGAUAAUCAGAGCAAAUGUCCAGAACAUAGGAGGGAAAACCUCGAAGUUGGUUUCUUACAUGCGGGGUAAACUAGGUACGUCGUACUUCCUCAUUCCCCAAAACUAAGCAUGUCAGAGUCGUUUUUACCCACUCUGAACAUCCUUUGUCCGAGUCGGUACCACGGAAUCCUGCUUGAACAUUCCUCUCCUGUGACCUGUAUAUUCUUUUUGCGAUCAUUGCCUGCACAGAAAAUCGAUCUUGUGGGCUCCCGAACUUUUUCACGAUGCCCUUCUUUGACUGCUAAUGACAUGUGUUUUUUCAUUGAUCUGACGUGCAGGAUACGACAAAUGCAUAGUUGACCAAGAGAAUGACACCAUCAGCAUCCACUCUAUCAAUGGCCUCGAUCCUGGUCGCAUUCUGAAGUACAUUCGCAGAAAUGUUGACCCUCAUGCUUCGGAGAUUGUGCAGACUUGAGGGAAUGGAUGAAACCUGGUAGUCAGAUCGUGUAUAUAUGUGUACAGAAAUACCUCACGAGGAAACGUACGAGGAAACCAUCUCAAGAAUUGGGUGGAGUUGUAGAUAAGCGGUUCUGUUCAACUGCGGAGUGGGGUUGUAGAUAGUGCAUUAUCAAAUAACCUCUGGGAUUUUUGAUGUAGCAAAUUCAUGGCCUGGAAUCAUUUUCUAUGGCACCAUUAGUGUAUGUGCAUUCAUCACAUUUGAUAUUGACUGCUGUGAACAAAGAUUGAUUUGAAAGAUUUGUGAUGGCGUUGCCUCAAGUGCGAGUUUCUGUGAAGUAGGCUGGCUCACUGACAAUUGGCUCAUUUGUGAAACGUGCUGCAUCUAAACGAAGUUUUAUCAUGGUAGCACACCAAACAUUGGGAAUGGCUCCAANNNNNNNNNNNNNNNNNNNNNNNNNNNNNNNNNNNNNNNNNNNNNNNNNNNNNNNNNNNNNNNNNNNNNNNNNNNNNNNNNNNNNNNNNNNNNNNNNNNNNNNNNNNNNNNNNNNNNNNNNNNNNNNNNNNNNNNNNNNNNNNNNNNNNNNNNNNNNNNNNNUGGAGAUGUGUUCUUUGAUAAAAUAAGUGAAUGACUGAAAUCUGGGUGAAACAGAAUUAUUGAAGAUUGUAGAAUCCAUGUUUCCACGGAGCAAAAGACACACAUAUUCAGCAAUCUUCUUCGUAAAAAAGUGGCAAAUAUUGUGGAAAAAGAAGAUGUUUCUACUAUUUGAAUAUUAGUCAUUGUACACGUGUAUUAUAUUAGGUAACAAUAUGUAAGCGUUUUCUUUACGCUUUGAAGAUCACAUAAAGUUUCAAAAACUAUUCUGAUCAUGAAUAGACUUGAAUAUAUUAUAUUAUUAUAGCAAUUUAUAACUAUUUCGUUUAUUAAUCAUUUUUUGAAUCUGUAACCAAAAGUUGAUGACAUCGACAUACUGAUAUGAAGGAACACAUAGGGCAUAUGUUAGAUAAUAGGAAACAGUGGUGCAAAAUCAAGGUUAUAUUUUGUGGCCAAUUAUAUGAAUCUAAAUUUUUUGGAUAAAACUUAAUAAAAAUUUAAGGUCUUUACUAUUAUAUGAAUUUAUAAUAUAUGUAAAUAAUUUUUUUUUUGCAUAUCAUACUUCUAAUAGGAAGUCAUUUACCCUAUUAGUACUAAAUUUCUAUGUGUGGAUGUAUGUAUGUGUGUAUAUAUAUAUAUAUAUAUAUAUAUAUUUAUCUUUAUAUUUAUUAUUAUAUAUAUAUUUUUUGUAAAAUUAGUGUUAUGUGUUAUAUUUUUUUUCAUGAUAUCAUUAUCUGUAAAAAACCAAGAUUAAUAUUUAUUAUUUUCAAAAGAUAAGAUUUAUUAAUUAUUUUUUAUAAAUUUCCAGUAAGAAAGAUAUUAUUGGUAUCUAUCUAUCUAUAUAUAUAUAUAUAUAUAUAUAAUUUUUAUGUCAGAAAUUUUGUUCAUAUGAGAAAAUUAUAUUCAUUGUCAUGAAAAUUAUUUUAAUAAAUAAUCCAUAAUCUGUUUUUGAUAUUUUACAAAAAAUUCAAUGAAUUAUUCACAUGUGAUUUUAGAAGAUUUUUAUAACAAGUUUUUGUAAAAUUUUUAUGAGAAUUAUUCACCUAUUUAUUUAUUUCUUUAUUUACAAUGUUAGGUUUUCAUAAAACAUUUAUAGAAUAGAAGUUUAAAAUAAUGGCAUUUUUUUUUUAAUUUAAUGAAGCAUGGUAUUGUUUUGAUAUUUUUUUUGAAGAGAGUCUCUUGUAUAUAAAUUUCAAAACAGGAUUUUUAAAAUUAAAAAAUAUAUAUAUAUGUAUGUGUGUAUGUAUUAAGUCAGGUUUUAUACAAGUCUACAUAUACAUUCACAUAUACAUUCCCAUAUACAUUCACAUAUAUAUAUAUAUAUAUAUGCACACAUAUUAAAUUCAGCUACUCAGGAAAAAGUGUAGAUAAGCAUCCACGGCACAGCUAAAAGUCAAAAUAGUACAUUAAUGUUAAGAUACUUAAACCAAUGAGUUCUCCACACACAUGAUUAAUCUUACCAUCAAACCUUAACAAUUGUUAUAAGCCACUAAUUCUAUAUUAGCAAUGAAAGUGAAACUAGUAAGCAAGAAUGAACUCAAGGUUGGUAAUGCCAUACGGUAGCUUUCAGAACACUGAACACAAGAAGAAGAAGAAGGAGAAGGGCAUUGAGGAGCUUUGUCAGUCAGUCAGUCAGCAUGUUGAUGGAUGAUGUACACACGUGGCAUUGCAGACACCAGCGGGGUUGGUGCCACGUCACUCUGGGUUCCAGGGGUCAAUGACGGGUCUCCCCAUCACUGCGUUCCCUUCCUGUGCCUGGGAACUUCCUCUCAAGGCACGCAGACAGGCAGACAGACAGACAGCCCAACGCCCUCCCUUCUUCCUCUAUUUCACCAACUGAACUCCGUUUGUAGAGCUUCGGAUCAGCACCAAUUCGCGUUCCUCGUCUAGCCCAUUGUCUGCAUUAUAUCUCUCUCUGCGCGCCUGCUGCUUCUACCUUGUUCCGAAGCAGGGUUUAGAAGCUUGUUGUGCGUCGUCUUUUCAGAUUGCUCUGUUUUUCUUCCGACGGCGUUGGGGUCGAAUUUCGCAAUUCGUUGGCCUUGCGCGGUUUUUUGUUUUGGGUUAUCUAGAUUUGUGGUUUUUCUUUUUCUAUUUUGGAUUGCGCUUUUGGGUAGAGUGGACGAGUUUUGAGGUCGCAGCGGUGCUGUUGGUGGUGAGAAGAUCCUUCUCGAGACGUUGGUGCUGGUUAUUUGUGGGCGAGUGUUGCGGGUUUGGAUUGGAUAUUUUAGGUGGGGUUGUUGUAGUGUGGGUUCUGUAGUUUCAGUCUCUGGAGAUCCAGGCCGAGCUGUUUGAUCGCACGGGGCUAAUUACCCAAGGUCGACAAGAUGGAGUUGAGUGAGGUAAAUCAUACUUAGUGGUGUGUUUAGGCUAAUCCUCUGACGGAGUCGUGCUUCUCAAGUCUGUGGAGCCCCUGUGAAUGACUACAGAGGUUCUAGCCUAGACAUGCCGUUCGAUUAUAAAGCAGCUUCAAGGAAACUUAAUUUUGGAAUCGGAUCACUACUAUCAGUUAUUAUUAUUAUUAUUAUUUUUAUAUAAUAUAAUAUAAUAUAAUAUUUUUCUUUUCUAUUCUUAACAAGCUGGGAUUUGGUUCAUCUUGCAGCAAUUUACUCCUCGAAAAUUGACACCAGUAGUACCAACUCACAACAUGACUGUGUCAUCAUAUCAGGUAAUCCAGGUUUUCAUGUUUGUUUUUUGCAAUGUAAUGGUUAGUAGUCACAUGCCGUGAAGGUGGUUUAGUCUCAAAAGCGUGUUUCGUGAAAUCCUUGUUGCAGCGGUUGAUCUCAUCUUAUUUAAGUUACUGCUCCCUGCACAUAUUCAGAAUGAGACGGUUUCGUUUUCUCAGUUUCCCUUUUGUCCAUCGCAGCUCCUCAUGAUUAUCAGAGCAAAUGUCCAAAACAUGACCAGGGAGACAUGGUCGGAGUUGGAUACAUACAUGAGGGGUGAACUAGGUACGUCUUGCUUCCUGGUCCCCAAAAACUAAGCACGUCAGCCGUUUUUACCCACUCUGAGCAUCCUUUGUCCGAGUCGGUAUCACGGAAUCCUGCUUGAACAUUCCUCCCCUGUGACCUGUAUAUUCUUUUUGCGAUCAUUGCCUGCACAGAAAAUCGAUCUUGUGGGCUCCCGAACUUUUUCCUAGAGCACUUCUUUGUCUGCUAUUGACAUGUGUUUUUUUAUUAAUCUGACGUGCAGG
rnacentral:lncRNA from 1 species